ensembl:misc_RNA Metazoa_SRP Metazoan signal recognition particle RNA
GCCGGGCGUGGUGGCGCGCGCCUGUAGUCCCAGCUACUCGGGAGGCUGAGGUGGGAGGAUCGCUUGAGUCCAGGAGUUCUGGGCUGCAGUGCGCUAUGCCGAUCGGGUGUCCGCACUAAGUUCGGCAUCAAUAUGGUGACCUCCCGGGAGCGGGGGACCACCGGUUGCCUAAGGAGGGGUGAACCGGCCCAGGUCGGAAACGGAGCAGGUCAAAGACCUAGCAGAUUAUACUGCCAGUGUGGGUGCUUAUAUCCCUCUACUAAUCCUGAAGUCCGGAUGUCUUUGCCUAAAAGCAUGGCAGUGCAUGUUU